rnacentral:rRNA from 1 species
AACGAACGCUGGCGGCAGGCUUAAUACAUGCAAGUCGAACGUGAAAGUCCUUCGGGAUGAGUAAAGUGGCGCACGGGUGAGUAACGCGUGGGAAUGUACCCUUGGAUACGGGAUAACUGCGGGAAACUGUAGCUAAUACCGUAUAAUGUCUUCGGACCAAAGAUUUAUCGUCCAAGGAUCAGCCCGCGUUGGAUUAGCUAGUUGGUGGGGUAAUGGCCUACCAAGGCGACGAUCUAUAGCUGGUCUGAGAGGAUGAUCAGCCACACUGGAACUGAGACACGGUCCAGACUCCUACGGGAGGCAGCAGUAGGGAAUAUUGGGCAAUGGACGCAAGUCUGACCCAGCCAUGCCGCGUGAAUGAUGAAGGCCUUAGGGUUGUAAAGUUCUUUCGCAGGUGAAGAUAAUGACGGUAACCUGAUAAGAAGCCCCGGCUAACUUCGUGCCAGCCGCCGCCGUAA